AUGUACCAACUGAUGUGUGAGAACCACUUCUUAUCUGCAGUGAGAACCAGCCCUUGCAAGCAGCUGCCCAGUGUGACCUUGGAGCCACGAGGGACAGUCAGGAAGAGGCAGCUCCUCACCUUGCUGCUCCUCAUGCCAGCUGCACAGGGCUUCCUCAUUACUGCAAAGGAAUCUUUCCUCCUCCAUGAAGACGCCCCAUCAGACAUUCACUGCGCAUCCGAAUUUGCUUGAAGUUUGGUGCUUAGUGGUAUACGAGAGGCUGAGAAACGCAAAGAAACAGUGCAUUGAGCAUAAGAUGCUGCAUUCGUGGAGAAUUACAACUCUUCCAGAGAGAGCCCAGCUGCCUGGACGCUCUACAGCAAACCAGCUAAAAAAUGCACUCUUACAGGCUGGAAAAGAUUGCGUGACCUAA
rnacentral:lncRNA from 1 species